GCCCGGAUAGCUCAAGUCGGUAGAGCAGAGGAUUGAAAAUCCUCGUGUCGGUGGUUCGAUUCCGCCUCCGGGCACCA
rnacentral:tRNA from 1 species